CAUUAAAAAAAUAAAGCCUACAAAAGUUCAAAGACCUAAAAAAAAUGUUACUCCUAUGGCAAAGUGAUCUCCUACUAGUCCAAAGUCCAGAAAGUUACCAGUGUCCGUUUAGUAUUAGUUUGCUUGAUUUAUCCAAUUUAUCAGGUUCCAAUCACAUUAUUUCUGAGUAGUCCUUGAGCCGACGAGAGGGCGGGAGAGUUCUCUACAUUUAAAAACAGGAGAUCAAAUCGGGUGUGCCUUUCAGAAAGAUACUCAAUUGGAACUGUCCUGAGUGAACACAGAAAUAUAUUUCGAGAAAGGAUUUCCUUGAUUAGUUUCCAUAGACUGAUAAACUGAAAACAAGAAGACUGAAACAAGAACAAAGAGAAGAAUUUUUAUCCACAGGGGAACGGAGCGUUCUUUUUUUGUUGAAGGUUUCUCAGACUUGAUGUCACUUGAGGUACUGUAUUUUGGAGCAUACUUAAAGAAACUUUCAUCCAUUUUGAAGUCAGUGUGCUCGAUAGGCCGGCUAGCAGCUCCUUUGAUUGGUCUACGGCAGCUAGCGCUGAUUCCUGUAGGUGUAGAGACUUCAUAAGGGAACAUUUCCUUAAGAAUAUCCCUUUCUACUUUUCGUUCUUCUGUAUGAGUUCUCUCCGGCACUUCAGCUGUCAUCAGUGGUUUCUUUGGUGUUCUUCUGGGCAUGUCUGAGGGUUCACUGAUUGACAAUGUAGGAGCUGCAUGCUUGAAAUUUCCAGGCACCCUAUUGCCAACUAGGGUCUCGUUGCUUGCAGUCAAUAUAGUUUCAGCUAUAGGAGUACUCUCUGAUAUAACAGCAUCAUCUACAGGCAACUGUAAUGUAGCUUCCACCCUUUUCCUUGGUGUUCUUCUUGACACUCUUGUAGACUCCCUAGAAAAUGCCUGAAGAGGUCCACUUUUUGAAGAUCCACUUGUCCAGACAGUCUCAGUAACUCCAUCUUGAGAAUAAGUCUGGUUGUGCUCAACGACUCUUCUUUGUUUGAGUGUUACUGGAGUCUUCAUCCUGCCUUUCAGAGGUUCUCUCUUCUCAAGCCUCAGCUCAGUCUUUGGCUCUUCUUCAUUGUCACUGUACUGGUCAGAAUCAUUAUUUCCAUUCUGUCUGGUGUUCUCAGUAGUUGAAGAAAUCACUGGGAGAGGCAUAGGUGUCUUCAGUUCUGGACCUUGUUCCAUCAGUUUCAACAGCUUUUUCUCAUAAAGUUUCCUUGUGGUAGCUACAAUUGGGCCAGGAUUUAUUCCAUACUUCAUAAGCUGCUCUUGAAGAUCUUCAUUACUGAGCUCUGUUACAUCUAAGUCAUCCUUUUCCUCUGCCCUGAGUUUGUCAGUUUUCUUUGUGGCUUUCCGUCCGACGGCGGCCCCGCGGCCCCGGGCGCCGAUGGGGGUGGGCUCCCGCUCCUCGUCGCUGGAGAAGUCGGGCUGCGCGACGGCGGGCGGGUUGCGGGCGGUGAGGUGCUGCAGGUAGAGCUGCACGUAGACGUCCUUGCGCUGCUCGCCGCCCGGCAGGCUCACAUUGUUGGCGAUCAGCUCGCUCUUCAGCUUCUCCUUCGUCAGGACCGAGGGGUCCGCCAAGAACUCGGGCAUCGCCGCCGCCCGCCGAGGCACCAACAAAGCGCGGGAGGAGGGGACGCGCUGCCCCGCGCCAGGCACCCAGCUCCACAGCGAGCGGGCGCGCACAGCGAGCGCUCCUCGCAGCCGCCAAUAAACCGCGCCCCGAUUGGCGGGGAGGGGGACGAAGCGGCUCUUCUAUUGGCUGUAGGACGGAAGAGAGGAGAGGCGCGCGGGCUCGGCCAGCGUUAGUGCUUUGCGCGGGGACCAGCAACGCAGUUUAAAUUCGGCUCGGGCGGGAGAGGCGCGGGGUGGUGCCGCCCUGAGGUGCUGGGCGCCGCCCUUCCGCCCUACGCCUCCCUCGUGGUGUGGUCGCCCCGCUGUCCUUCUCGGCGGUGGGGAAUUGAGAAGAGUACCCACAGGAGUUUUAGCGUUUCACAAGUUACCUCGCUGGGAAGGGAGGGCUGAGUUUGAGAUUUAACCCGAAUUAAAUGCUUGAGUUUACGUGCUGCCCGCUGGGAAUGCUCACCGCUGUAAAUUUGCCUGUAUUUUACGAUAAGAGCUGUUCAAAAUUUACAUCUGAUUAUGCACCUUGUGUGUUUGAAGUAUCGGAGAUGGAAAUAAUUGAGUGGCUAUGUAAAUUUAUCCAUCGAUCCCAGAUGUGAAACAGGGUCAUCAGUGUUUAUGCCCACUCCUUCUUAAGAGUUCCAGAAUCGCAGGGUGCCCCGAGCUGAAAGGAUCAUUGAGUCCAACUCCUGAAGGAGUUUCACGCUGUAGUGGGGGAGAUUUCCCUCCGUUUUGGUUCGCUCCGGUCCGCCCGGCCAUCGCCGCAGUGUCAGCUGUGGUACAGCAGUGCCGUUGCUUAGGGCUGCUGCUGUAGAGGGGAAUUUCAAGUGGUCUGUCCACACCAAGGCUGAUGCUUCCCACUGAUGAAUCGGUGCGGUGUAACAAAGCAGUUAAUGCAAGGGAGUAGCUGAGCUUGCAGAAUUUAGUUUACUUUGCAGCAAAACUGAUGAUAUGAGGUGGCUAUCACCUGCUGUUCGUUGUAACCUAUGUGUGAAAGUAUUUCGUUCUUGGUUUUAUACGGAGUAAGUAAUUCCAAAAGUGGUUUAUUUCCAUGGAGAUGACAACAGAUGCAGAGAGUACAAUAAGACUAUUUGAUAGAACAAAUUCUCAUCUAUGAAACCCUAUUUUUCAGCAUAGCCACCACCAUUAGCUAUGCCUUUCACCAACAGUGAACAGGAGGCUGCAUACCACACCUGUUCAAAAUCUUCACUAGCAGAGGUGAUCUGCUGUUCCCACUGCUAAAGUGCACCGCUCACUGCCUCACUGUGCUCACAUCCACUGUUUGGUCUCCAUAAACUCUCACCACGCAUCAGUGAAUGUCAGUAGAUUCCAUUUUUUUUCCACACUGAGGAAUUCAAUGUCAG
rnacentral:lncRNA from 1 species